rnacentral:rRNA from 1 species
GAUGAACGCUGGCGGCGUGCCUCAAACAUGCAAGUCGAGCGGGGCUAUGUAAUAUCGCAAGGUAGAACAUAGCCUAGCGGCGAACGGGUGAGUAACACGUGGGUAACCUGCCUGGAAGACAGGGAUAACGAUUCGAAAGGGUCGCUAAUACCUGAUAAUAUCCUUUCAUCGCAUGGUGAUAGGAAGAAAGGGGAAACCCGCUUUCAGAUGGGCCCGCGUCCCAUCAGCUAGUUGGUAAGGUAAAGGCUUACCAAGGCGACGACGGGUAGCCGGUCUGAGAGGAUGUACGGCCACACUGGGACUGAGAUACGGCCCAGACUCCUACGGGAGGCAGCAGUUGGGAAUCUUAGGCAAUGGACGAAAGUCUGACCUAGCGACGCCGCGUGAGGGAAGAAGGCCUUCGGGUUGUAAACCUCUGUCAUGGGGGAAGAAGUAAGUGACGGUACCCCAAGAGGAAGCCCCUGCUAACUACGUGCCAGCAGCCGCGGUAAAGGUAGUACA